ensembl:lncRNA
CCUUCCUCCAGCUGGGCUCCUCCACGGAGCAGCAGCUGCGCGUUAUCUUCGAGGUGCUGGAGGAAUACGACUGGACCACGUUCUCGGUGGUCACCACCCUGCGCCCGGGUCGCCGCCACUUCACGGCGGCCGUGGACGCGCUGACGGACGGCAGCUUCAUCGGCUGGGAGCAUCGCGGUGUCACGACGGUGGAUCCCAACGCCGACGAUCCGGACGGGACCCAACUGCAGCGCCGUUUGAGGGAGGUGACGGCGAGGGUGCGGUUGCUUUAUUGCUCCGCCGAUGAGAUCCAAAGGGUUUUUAAAGCCGCUCGAGCCGCCGGUUUGGCCGGACCGGGUUACGUCUGGUUCUCCGUGGGUGCCGGAUUGGGGACGGACGGGACGCCGGUGACGGAAGACGCCCCGGUCGGGUUGUUCGCGGUGCUGGCGGCGGCGUGGAGGGACGCGCUGGGACAGCGGCUGAGAGCCGGGCUGGCCGUGGUGGCGGAAGGGACCGAAGCCAUGAGGAGGGAGAGGGGCCGCGGCGGGGACGGAGACGGAGGGGAGACGGACAGAGGGGGGGACUGCAGGGAGCGGAGGAGNNNNNNNNNNNNNNNNNNNNNNNNNNNNNNNNGUCACACGUACGGCGUCCAUCGUCACCUGUGGGGGUCCACUGUCACCUAUGGGUGUACAUUAUCACCUAUGGGGGUCCACUGUCACCUACGGGUGUCCACUGUCACGUGGAGGGCAUCCAUUGUCACCUAUGGGUGUCCAUUGUCACCUAUGGGGGUCCAUUGUCACGUGGAGGGCAUCCAUUGUCACCUAUGGGGGUCCGUUGUCACCUAUGGGCAUCCAUUGUCACGUGGAGGGCAUCCAUCGUCACCUAUGGGUGUCCAUUGUCACCUAUGGGGGUCCACUGUCACCUAUGGGUGUCCAUCGUCACCUGUGGGUGUCCAUUGUCACGUGGAGGGCAUCCAUUGUCACCUAUGGGUGUCCAUUGUCACGGGGAGGGCGUCCAUCGUCGCCUAUGGGUGUCCAUUGUCACUUAUGGGGGUCCAUUGUCACCUAUGGGUGUCCAUCGUCACCUAUGGGUGUCCAUCAUCACCUGUGGGGGUACAUUGUCACCUAUGGGGGUCCACUGUCACCUACGGGUGUCCACUGUCACGUGGAGGGCAUCCAUUGUCACCUAUGGGUGUCCAUUGUCACGGGGAGGGCAUCCAUCGUCACCUAUGGGUGUCCAUUGUCACUUAUGGGGGUCCGUUGUCACCUACGGGUGUCCACUGUCACGUGGAGGGCAUCCAUCGUCACCUAUGGGGGUCCACUGUCACCUAUGGGUGUCCAUCGUCACCUGUGGGUGUCCAUUGUCACGUGGAGGGCGUCCAUCGUCACCUAUGGGGGUCCAUUGUCACCUAUGGGUGUCCAUCGUCACCUGUGGGCGUCCAUUGUCACGUGGAGGGCAUCCAUUGUCACCUAUGGGUGUCCACUGUCACCUUAUGGGCAUCCAUUGUCACCUAUGGAGGUCCAUCGUCACCUUAUGGGGAUUUGUUGUCACCUAUGGGCGUGCAUUGUCACCUCUGGGGGUCCACUGUCACCUAUGGGGGUCCAUUGUCACCUAUGGGUGUCCACUGUCACCUAUGGGGGUCCACUGUCACCUAUGGGUGUCCAUCGUCACCUGUGGGGGUCCAUUGUCACCUAUGGGCGUCCAUUGUCACGUGGGGAGCAUCCACUGUCACCUAUGGGGGUCCAUCGUCACCCAUGGGGAUUUAUUGUCACUUAUGGGCACCCAUUGUCAUCUAUGGGGGUCCACUGUCACCUAUGGGUGUCUAUUGUCACCUUAUGGGCAUCCAUUGCCCCCCCAGUGUCCCCAAUGUCCCCUUAACAUCCCCCAAUGCCCCCAUUGUCCCCAAAGCCCCCAUUGUCCCCAAUGCCCCCAUUGCCCCCAUUGCCCCCAUUGCCCCCAUUGCCCCCAUUGUCCCC